ensembl:lncRNA
GAAACAGAGACUGUGAAGGAGUUAAUGGGGAAAUUGGAGGAGAGAGAAAUGAGGGAGUUGCUGUGUUGGUGCUUUUUGCAUGGAAUUCGCCCGACGGAACGUGUCGGGGAUUUGAUGGCGCCUGGGUUAGCGCUCCAUACUCGUCCUGAGGUGCGUGUUAGUCUGGUGAAAGAAGGGGCAGAGACAGAGAAAGAGACAGAAAGAAGGGGCAGAGACAGAGACAGAGACAGAGACGUAAAGAAGGGGCAGAGACAGAGACAGAAAGAAGGGGCAGAGACAGAGACAGAAAGAAGGGGCAGAGACAGAGACAGAAAGAAGGGGCAGAGACAGAGACAGAGGCAGAAAGAAGGGGCAGAGACAGAGAAAGAAAGAAGGGGCAGAGACAGAGACAGACAGAAAGAAGGGGCAGAGACAGAGACAGAAAGAAGGUGCAGAGAUGGAGACAGAGACGGAAAGAAGGGGCAGAGACAGAGACAGAGACAGAAAGAAGAGGCAGAGACAGAGACAGAGACAGAAAGAAGAGGCAGAGACAGAGACAGAGACAGAAAGAAGGGGCAGAGACAGAGACAGAGACAGAGACAGAAAGAAGGGGCAGAGACAGAGACAGAAAGAAGGGGCAGAGACAGAGACAGAAAGAAGGGGCAGAGACAGAGACAGAAAGAAG